AACGUAGGAGGCGAGCGUUAUCCGGAGUUACUGGGCGUAAAGCGCGCGCAGGCGGUUCGUUAAGUGGGGCGUGAAAGCCCCGUGCUAAACGCGGGGAGGACGAACCAUACUGACGGACUGGAGUGGAGCAGAGGGACAUGGAAUUCCGGGUGUAGCGGUGAAAUGUGCAGAUAUCCGGAGGAACACCAGAGGUGAAAACGGUGUCCUGGGCUCACACUGACGCUGAGGCGCGAAAGCGUGGGGAGCGAACGGG
rnacentral:rRNA from 1 species